CUCUCUCUCUCUCUCUCUCUCUCUCUCUCUCUUUAAACACAAAAUUACGUAAUCUAUUCAUUUAACCCUUUUCAGGUCUCUUCGUGAGCUCCUCUUUCCCCCUCCCUCCUCCUCCUCCUCCUCCUCCUCCUCCUCCUCCGCAUUUCAUUCAUUCUUCCUACCUUUAUUCCUCCCUUUCCUCUCUCCUUCUCCCGUUUCUUCACUCUUCCUUAACUCCUUCUAUUCACUAUAAUUUUGUUUUAAGUAAAGUGUGUGUGUGUGUGUGUGUGUGUGUGUGUGUGUGUGUGUGUGUGUGUGUGUGUGUGUGUGUGUGUGUGUGUGUGUGUGUGUGUGUGUAUCGCAUUGCCGCUGCCUUGGUAACACUGACCUUAGUAACGCCAAACAAUGUUACCAGAUCCAAACAGUCGUGACAAAUCCAUUAGUAUUAAAAAGAAAGAAAAGAAAAAAGGAAAAAAAACAAGAAAACAAAAGGUAAAAUAACGUAACUAUCUCAUUGGUUUUUCCUGUUAAUUAAUUCCAAGUUGGCAAAAGCUAUUUCUAAUUUUCCUUUUAUUUUCAUCUUCUUUAUCAGUUUAGUUUUAAUGCCUUAAAUUUCGUGUGUGUUGUUUUAGUCUUACGCUCUUUGUUUUCUUUUCCUUCAUAGUCAACGUUAUCUCUCUCCUCCUCUAAACCUCACCUUCUCUUCUUCACCGAAACAUAGGUCUUUGAGGCUACUGACAGCAAUCUCUACUCUGUUCCCUCCUACUUUAGUGCUUCCUACCUCCAGGAUUACAUAUUCUGGAAGGGGUUUCACUAUAUUUCUCGCUUCUCUGGAUAGUCAUCUUUUCUUAAGCAUAUAUAACUAAACUAGAGGGCGGGCGUCUGACAGCUCAUAAGAUCUGGCAAGCUGAGGGGAUCAAGCAACAAAAUAGCAUAAAAAAAUGACUUUCACUUCGAUUCAAAUUAUCGGAGAGCAAUUCGUUUGUAUGUAAGGUCGAUCAUAAUGUUAGUCUGGUUCACUGAUGUUUUCUGAUCAUUAAUAGAUGUUUCAAGAUUAUUUCACUAUCUUCACACCGUUUUCUUGAGUCGUAUUAGCAUUAUUCUUAGGUAAACACCCUUAUGUGUAGGUUCUCUUAAGGAAACCCAUUUAUUUUGAGGUAAACUCGGUUCUUCUAAGCUAACACCGUCUCUUUUAAGGCGAGCACGAUUCAGUUAAAGUAGACAUUGAUUUGUUAAGUUAAAAAUGGUUCUGUUAAGUUAAAUACGGAUAAGCUAAGGUAUUUACGGGAGCCACUUUUCCAUUUUUCUUCCUACCCACCCGCUUUCCUUCCGACCUAUACCCACUUUUAUGUUCUCUUUUCACGGUUCUGUUAAGGUAAAGGUAGUUCUGUUAAGGGUAAAGGUGGUUCUGAUGAGGUAAGGGCUGUUCUGUAAGGCAAGGCGGUUCUGUUAAGGUAAAGGUAGUUCUGUUAAGGGUAAAGGUGGUUCUGUACGACAAGGCGGUUCUGUUAAGGUAAAGGUAGUUCUGUUAAGGGUAGUUCUGUUGAGGCAAGGGCUGGUCUGUAAGGCAAGGCGGUUCUGUUGAGGUCAAGUCGGGUCUGGUAAGGGCGUAGCACCGUUCCCUCAGCCCAGCAGCGGCGUGGUGUCGUUUUUUUAGGCCUC